CUUUCACCUUUCCACUCCUCUCUGGUGCUAAGGAGCCUAAGACGAGAAGAUAACCCCAGUUGUAUUCACGGUGGGUUAUAUGCUUUUUCAUAUUUUUCCUAAUAUGGACAGUGUUUAUUCUCCAUCUCUCCUUUCACUUCUCACGUUAACGGCAAUGAUAAUAAAAGAGCAUCGAAAGUGAUCAAAGAAAAUAUAGUGAAGAAAGAAAGAAUCCAGGGGCUUGGAGACCAGAAGAGACUUCAAUGUAUCUGAGUUUUGACUGGGGACCACAUGUCAGACUAUGAUGGGAAUGAAGAAAGCAGAAACUCCUCAUUCUGGCCAUGAAAUACCUUAAAUGAGGCUUGGGUGCCAAAAGAAAUAAGCUUCCAGAGCAGAGAGUCCCUGAAGCACGAUGCUGGCUCUUGAAUUAAGGAGCUUGGGGAUGCAGCAGCUGCUUCUGUUCCAGGGAGGGGGAAGAACAGGAGAGGCAUCACUCACUGUUCUAUGGAAGUGUGUGGAUCCCAGUCUCCUCCAAGAACGGAUGGGGAACACUGGCCCAGAGACCACCCCAUCAAACUAGAAGCUGGGUCACAAGAGGAGCAGGGAGAGAGAACUCCACGCCAGGCACCAGGAUCCCAAUUAGGGCUGACACUUACAGCCAUAAGAACCGGAGCUCAGAUGCGUGUUUAUAGCAUCUGCUGGAAAUACAGGAGCGUCUGUGCGAUGUGCUCUGUUUAGGAGGGCUCGUGUGGUGAAAAUGAGGGGCAGCUGAGUCUUUGAAACAGCUGGCCUUCUUUCUAAGUCCCUCCAAAAGAGGCACAGUCGAGUUCCCAGACAGCUGUUUUGCUGCAAACUCUGUACCUGGACAAUACAGGCAAUCAACCUCCUAAAGAAAACAGGCAUUAUUUUGACUCAAACAGGCCACUUUUGCACAUGAUUUACUUCCUGAUGAACAAUUUUUCCUGAACAAUAUACGUUUUGUUUGAUUUGCACAGGGAUUUUAAACAUCCAAGCAAAUGUUAAAAAAUUGAAAGAUUUCUGGAUUUUCAGCAGGUCUAGAAAAAUCCAGAGAUCUGGCAACUGACAGCCGGCAUUCCCACCUGGGAAGGCUCUAGAGCCUAAAGAAUGGAUGUGUCCUCUGAGAGGGUGCAGCCGGCCACCCUCCCCGCCUCUCACAGCCUGCAGGGCAUGGUCAUUCCACCCGCUUCCUUACCCACCUCCUCCUUUCACCUGUCCCUUGCAUUUGCGACUCCUGGUUAAAUGGCUCAGAAUUUCACAUGGAUGCCUCUGAGUCCAGCUAGCUUUGCAGCCUCUCAGCAUUCAGUCCUACAAUUACAAGUGUCAGUGACAGCCCCUCUAGGGGACUGAUGAAGUAUCCCAGGAAAGGUUUCCAAAAGGCAACGUGCAUCCCUUGAGUAAGGUUGAAUCACGUGGACAGAAAGUGUUUCCUUUUUAGAUUCUUUUAGAAGUUUUGAGGUUAAAGUGAAAGUCUCCCACAUGGCCCGUAACCAGUCCUGGGCACAGACACCCCCGGAGCUGCAACAAGGAGGGACUGGAGGAGUAAAAGGGGCACCACGCGGGGUCCCUCCCUCUCCUCCCGCAGGCCAUUCCUGGCUCCCUGCCUCUUCCCUGGCCCCUUCACUCAUCUGGUGCCAGCUUUUGACUUUGUUCCCCAAUUUCUAUGUUGGGUGUGAAGGCCAGGAGAGGGGUGACAAAAUAAAGUUAGGAAGGGCAGAAACUCGGACUAGAAAUCCCUCACAGCAGCUCCCUGUGCUCCAUGAUUCAGAAUGGGGGGAAAAGGCAGUGCCAUAUUGUCGUGGAAAUGUCUGCCACUGGUUUAUUUAUACUAAAACGCUGAGAACAAACAACCCAGGUGCCCCGCGAUAGGGGGCUUUCUAAAUAAAUUCAGGUCCAUCCACUUAAUCAGUUAUUUAAAAAGCUAAGUAUGGGACAAGCAAAGUACUUUGGCAACGUUAAGUUACAAAAGAGACGUAACAUAUUACAGACUGAUCUCAAUGGUAUAAAAAUACUUCGAUAUACUCUGUAAGGCAGGACGCAAUAAUGGUAAUAGUUACAUAAGAUAUGGAAUAUGGGUUUAAAAAACAUAUCUUUGAAUAUGUUUUUAUGAUUACAAAAGUAAAAUAAAGGCAUUAAAAAAAUAAGCCUAAUAAAAAGGUAAGGAGAAGAAAAUCUCAGCUUGGUCUGCUUGCAAGCUUGUCCAACCUGUAGCCCACAGGCUGCGUGUGUGGCCCAGGACAGCUUUGAAUGUGGCCCAACACAAAUUUGUAAACUUUCUUACAACAUUAUGAGAUUGUUUUGCAAUUUCUUUUUCCAGCUCAUCAGCUAUCGCUAGUGUUAGCAUAUAUUAUGUGUGGCCCAAAGACAAUUCUUCCAAUGUGGCCCAGAGAAGCCAAAAGACUGGACACCCUUGCACUCUCGUGUGUCCACAGCACUUCCCUGCACCUGCUAACCCCUUUCUCUAACCUCCAAGGCAAGCACACAGCCUCUUGCUAUUAACAUUAGCUAGCUAGACUUCAAUAGGAUUUUUAUGCUUUUUUUUUGUUUGUUUGUUUUUGAGACAGAGUCUCACUCUGUUGCCCAAGCUAGAGUGUACUGGUGUGAUCUUGGCUCACUGCAACCUCCGCCUCCUGGGUUCAAGCCAUUCUCCUGCCUUAGCCUCCUGAGUAGCUGGGAUUACAGGCACGCACCACCAUGAACAGCUUAAUUUUUGUAUUUUUAGUAGAGGCAGGGUUGGCCUGCUGGUCUCAAAUUCCUUGAACUCCUGACCUCAGGUGAUCCACCAGCCUCGGCUUCCCAAAAUGCUGGGGUUACAGGCGUGAGCCAUCGCACCUGGCCAGGAUUUUUAUGUUUUAAUUGUAUUUGUUUAUGCUCACCUUUAUUUUGUGCAACUGAUAGGCAUUUUCUCCAUUUAUUUGUGUACAUUAAAGUUAUUUUUUAAAUAAAACAUUUUUAUGAUUUGCCUAAAUAUUCAUUUGGAUGCUUACUUCCCGUGAGUGUCUUUAUUCUUUUCUAUAUUUGCCCAAUGGUAUGAUACCUCAGUUCAUGAGACCGUUAGAAAGAUUUACUGAAAUAAUGUACACAGAGCAUUUUGUAAAGUGCCAGAGACAGUGAAAUACACACAGUAUUAUUCUGUGUGCUGUCAAGCACUAUAAAAUCUACAGAAUAUUAUGGUUUUCUAUGUAAGUUUCUAUUUUUAAGAUACUAUAUUUGCUUCUGGAAGAGAUGUUAACAGUAGCGUUUUAAUAAGAAUGCCUAAUGAGAAACUUGAGACACAUAAGUGAACCGGUUGAAGUGAAGGUGUUCAGCACCUAACAGCACAGGUGCAUGUGGGCCAGUGGGAAGUGGAGCGGCAGGCAGGUGUGCCUACACCGACCCCGCUGGGGAGCCCGCCUCAUCAACAGCCUUAGGGGGUUGCAUUCCCAACACGGAGUCCCCCCUGAACUUCAGAGUAUGCCCACAGUUUAAAGAAACACCUAAGUUUUAGCAUUUUCCCUGAAGGAAUGAGCUUAAAGUAAGGCUCCAGGAAUGCUUGAGGCAGAAACCUUUAUCAGAUCAAGGUGCAACGUUCGAAUCAAAAGCAGCCAGGGUCCGCUCUUCCCUCUUGCCAGUGCUGAGGUCAGACUCACUGCUCGCUUCACUGCUCCCCAGCUACUCAGACUCACCCGGACACCUGGUUUUGAAAAAAGAUGCAGACCGAGGAAAGGAGAUGAAGGGGGAGGCGGAAGAUGCUUCCUAAGGAACAGGAGGAUGCCAAAAGAACCGCAAGAUGUGUUCCUGCCUUUCAGCACGCUCUCUAUGUGCUUUUCUGCCUCUUCCCUGCAGACACAGAAGCAUUUGCUUCAUGCUCGAUCCUCUCUGUCACAGGGCACUGACGGGGAAGGACCUGGGCAGCAUGCUAAUUGCUCUGUUGGCCUCGCACCCUGUAAAUACGACGUGCACUCUGGUAAAUUGUUGGCUGACUUUGCCUGACUGCCGAGAUGCUCAGACCUCUCCCAGGGUGAUGGGGAGCCUGGAAACCAAAUGCCACGCGGUCUGGUGUGUGUAUGGAGCAGGUGCUAGCUGUCUUCCUGGGUCUGAGUGUUUAUAGACAGAUGGUUUCAGGACCAUAACAACCCUGGUCUUUCAGAGGUUCUAGGUUACAGGGAGACGGCACUCCAGCAGAACAGCUGUUUUGCUUGACAGUUUUCCUAACAAAUGCUCUCUCCCCGUCUAAGAGGACAUUUCACCAGGGGAGGAAGCGGGAGGGGGGGGGCUCUUAUGUUUCUGAGAGUCUCAGUUUGGGUUCAUUAGAAGCCGAUCAUAAGACAAGGAUUCAUUUGCAAGUGACUGAUUAAGGAUGUUGUUUCCUUUCUCCCCACGCACCAGGAGAAACUGGAAAGGGAGAAGGGGAGAGGGAAAUAGUUCACAUUGCAGGAAGAAGCAAACAGAAGGUGUGCUUUCAAUGACCCAGCCUGCAGCCUGACCCUGUGGGAAGCUCUGAGUCCAACCGUGUCCAUGACAAUUCAGAGUUGUCUGCAGUGGGGGAGAUGGGGCUGAGCUUUCGUAUUCCACACCUGUCCAUCAUCAGCAAAGAGGAUCCCAGGAAGAAGCUCCCAGGCUCUUCUAAGAAUCCGCACAAGUGCACAAAAGUGAGGGGCAGCCCCAGGUGGUGCAGUGACGGAAGCAGGUUCAGGAUGACAGAGCCAACCCCAUGAUUACAGACUGAAUUGUUCCCUCCAAAAUUCAUCUCACAAAGCCCUCUGCCCCAGUGUGACUAUAUUUGGAGAGCAGGCUUUUAAGAUGGUAAUUAAGGUUAAAUAAAGUCCUAAGAGGGGGCUCUAAUCCCACAGGACUGGUGUCCUUACGGGAAGAUGAAGAAGCCAAGUUCAGUGGCUCACACCUGUAAUCUCAGCACUUUGGGAGGCCGAGGUAGGUGGAUCACUUGAGCUCAGGAGUUUGAACCCAUCCUGGGCAACAUGAUGAAACCCUAUCUCUACAAAAAAUGCAAACAUUAGCUGGGCUUGGUGGUGCAUGCCUGUAGUCUCAGCUACUUGGCGGAUCGCUUGAGAGGAGGAUCGCUUGAGCCCAGGAAGUCAAGGCUACAGUGAGUCCUGUUUACACCACUGCACCCCAGGCUGGGUGACAGAGCGAGACCCUGUCUCGAAAAAAAAAAAAAGACAAGACACCAGGAGCUUCUCUCUCUCCAUGCACAGAGGAAAGGCCCUCUGAGGACACAAGAUGCCGAGAGGGUGGCGAACUGCAAGCCAGGAAGAGAUCCCUCACCAGAAACCACCCUUGACAGCACCCUGACCUCGGACUUUCCAGAAUUCAGAUGGUGAGAAAAUAAAUUUCUGUGUUUUAAGCCAACCAGUCUGUGGAAUUUUGUUCAGGCAGCCCUAGCUGGCUAACACACCUACCGAGGGAUAUAGAGCAGUGAAAGAGAUUUAACGGGAACCAGGGUGGAGCAGUGUCUGCCAGCUGGGGUGAUCCAUUGGGUGUAUUUCCUUUCAGGACAAGAAUAAGCACAAGCGACAGCUUGUCCUCCGAGGCAGACCUCCCAGGUUUGAAUUCCACCUCCAGCUCUUACUGAGUGGGUUUGAAAAAUGCAUCAUGUCUCGGUUCCCCCCAUGCAAAUUGAGGUCAUGGCUCACUGUGUCUACCUCGAAUGCUUGAAGGAGGAUUAGAUGCUUAGGAGGAUUAUAUGCAAAGCAUUUGGAGAGCGC
rnacentral:lncRNA from 1 species